AACGAACGCUGGCGGCGCGUCUUAAACAUGCAAGUCGAACGGUAAGGAAGGAGCUUGCUCCUUUCUGAGAGUGGCGGACUGGUGAGUAACACGUGGGUGACAUACCUUUUAGAUGGGGAUAGCUAUUAGAAAUAGUAGGUAAUACCGAAUGUGACCGUAUCUGUUAGAGGGAUACGAGGAAAGGAGCUAAGGCUUCGCUAAAAGAAUGGCCCGCGGCCCAUUAUGCUUGUUGGUGAGGUAACGGCCCACCAAGGCGAUGAUGGGUAUCCGGCCUGAGAGGGUGGACGGACACAUUGGGACUGAGAUACGGCCCAGACUUCUACGGGAGGCAGCAGUUAAGAAUAUUCCGCAAUGGACGAAAGUCUGACGGAGCAACGCCGCGUGGAUGAAGAAUGCCGAAAGGUUGUAAAAUCCUUUUAAGCCUGAGGAAUAAGCACAGUAGGGAAUGAUUGUGUGGUGACUGUAGGGCUUGAAUAAGCACCGGCAAAUUACGUGCCAGCAGCCGCGGUAACACGUAAGGUGCGAGCGUUGUUCGGAAUUAUUGGGCGUAAAGGGCAUGUAGGCGGAUGAGCAAGCUUGGUGUGAAAUGCUACAGCUUAACUGUGGGACAGCAUUGAGAACUGCACAUCUUGAAUUACUGAAGGGUAACUAGAAUUCCACGUGUAGGGGUGAAAUCUGUAGAUAUGUGGAAGAAUACCAAUGGCGAAGGCAAGUUACCGGCAGAUAAUUGACGCUGAGGUGCGAAAGUGCGGGGAGCGAACAGG
rnacentral:rRNA from 1 species